rnacentral:rRNA from 1 species
UACAGAGGUCUCAAGCGUUGUUCGGAUUCAUUGGGCGUAAAGGGUGUGUAGGUGGCGCGUUAUGUCGGGUGUGAAAUUUCGGAGCUUAACUCCGAAACUGCAUUCGAUACUGGCGUGCUUGAGGACUGGAGAGGAGACUGGAAUUUACGGUGUAGCAGUGAAAUGCGUAGAUAUCGGAAGGAAGACCAGUGGCGAAGGCGGGUCUCUGGACAGUUCCUGACACUGAGACACGAAAGCCAGGGGAGCAAACGGG